AAAUUGAAGAGUUUGAUCAUGGCUCAGAUUGAACGCUGGCGGCAGGCCUAACACAUGCAAGUCGAACGGUAACAGGAAGCAGCUUGCUGCUUCGCUGACGAGUGGCGGACGGGUGAGUAAUGUCUGGGAAACUGCCUGAUGGAGGGGGAUAACUACUGGAAACGGUAGCUAAUACCGCAUAACGUCGCAAGACCAAAGAGGGGGACCUUCGGGCCUCUUGCCAUCGGAUGUGCCCAGAUGGGAUUAGCUAGUAGGUGGGGUAACGGCUCACCUAGGCGACGAUCCCUAGCUGGUCUGAGAGGAUGACCAGCCACACUGGAACUGAGACACGGUCCAGACUCCUACGGGAGGCAGCAGUGGGGAAUAUUGCA
rnacentral:rRNA from 1 species